rnacentral:rRNA from 1 species
GAUGAACGCUGGCGGCGUGCCUAAUACAUGCAAGUCGAGCGAACGGACGAGAAGCUUGCUUCUCUGAUGUUAGCGGCGGACGGGUGAGUAACACGUGGAUAACCUACCUAUAAGACUGGGAUAACUUCGGGAAACCGGAGCUAAUACCGGAUAAUAUUUUGAACCGCAUGGUUCAAAAGUGAAAGACGGUCUUGCCGUCACUUAUAGAUGGAUCCGCGCUGCAUUAGCUAGUUGGUAAGGUAACGGCUUACCAAGGCAACGAUGCAUAGCCGACCUGAGAGGGUGAUCGGCCACACUGGAACUGAGACACGGUCCAGACUCCUACGGGAGGCAGCAGUAGGGAAUCUUCCGCAAUGGGCGAAAGCCUGACGGAGCAACGCCGCGUGAGUGAUGAAGGUCUUCGGAUCGUAAAACUCUGUUAUUAGGGAAGAACAUAUGUGUAAGUAACUGUGCACAUCUUGACGGUACCUAAUCAGAAAGCCACGGCUAACUACGUGCCAGCAGCCGCGGUAAUACGUAGGUGGCAAGCGUUAUCCGGAAUUAUUGGGCGUAAAGCGCGCGUAGGCGGUUUUUUAAGUCUGAUGUGAAAGCCCACGGCUCAACCGUGGAGGGUCAUUGGAAACUGGAAAACUUGAGUGCAGAAGAGGAAAGUGGAAUUCCAUGUGUAGCGGUGAAAUGCGCAGAGAUAUGGAGGAACACCAGUGGCGAAGGCGACUUUCUGGUCUGUAACUGACGCUGAUGUGCGAAAGCGUGGGGAUCAAACAGGAUUAGAUACCCUGGUAGUCCACGCCGUAAACGAUGAGUGCUAAGUGUUAGGGGGUUUCCGCCCCUUAGUGCUGCAGCUAACGCAUUAAGCACUCCGCCUGGGGAGUACGACCGCAAGGUUGAAACUCAAAGGAAUUGACGGGGACCCGCACAAGCGGUGGAGCAUGUGGUUUAAUUCGAAGCAACGCGAAGAACCUUACCAAAUCUUGACAUCCUUUGACAACUCUAGAGAUAGAGCCUUCCCCUUCGGGGGACAAAGUGACAGGUGGUGCAUGGUUGUCGUCAGCUCGUGUCGUGAGAUGUUGGGUUAAGUCCCGCAACGAGCGCAACCCUUAAGCUUAGUUGCCAUCAUUAAGUUGGGCACUCUAAGUUGACUGCCGGUGACAAACCGGAGGAAGGUGGGGAUGACGUCAAAUCAUCAUGCCCCUUAUGAUUUGGGCUACACACGUGCUACAAUGGACAAUACAAAGGGCAGCGAAACCGCGAGGUCAAGCAAAUCCCAUAAAGUUGUUCUCAGUUCGGAUUGUAGUCUGCAACUCGACUACAUGAAGCUGGAAUCGCUAGUAAUCGUAGAUCAGCAUGCUACGGUGAAUACGUUCCCGGGUCU